CUAACACAUGCAAGUCGAGCGGUAGCACAGAGAGCUUGCUCUCGGGUGACGAGCGGCGGACGGGUGAGUAAUGUCUGGGAAACUGCCUGAUGGAGGGGGAUAACUACUGGAAACGGUAGCUAAUACCGCAUAACGUCGCAAGACCAAAGAGGGGGACCUUCGGGCCUCUUGCCGUCAGAUGUGCCCAGAUGGGAUUAGCUAGUAGGUGGGGUAACGGCUCACCUAGGCGACGAUCCCUAGCUGGUCUGAGAGGAUGACCAGCCACACUGGAACUGAGACACGGUCCAGACUCCUACGGGAGGCAGCAGUGGGGAAUAUUGCACAAUGGGCGCAAGCCUGAUGCAGCCAUGCCGCGUGUAUGAAGAAGGCCUUCGGGUUGUUAAGUACUUUCAGCGAGGAGGAAGGCAUCAAGGUUAAUAACCUUGGUGAUUGACGUUACUC
rnacentral:rRNA from 1 species